UUAAGUUCAGCGGGUAGUCCUACCUGAUUUGAGAUCAAACGUUCAAAGAGCUGUCUCCAUAGAAGAGAGACAUCUGUGAGCCCCAGCGAACCUCCGUCACUGAAGGUUACCUGGUGGAAAACCACAAGCGUAGAUAGUUAUCACACCUGUGAUGCCACCAAACACUGGCAAGCUGAUUCAUUUGAGAGGAGCCAACCACA
rnacentral:misc_RNA from 1 species